rnacentral:rRNA from 1 species
GUAGGUGGUUUNUGCGUCGUCCGUGAAAUUCCGGGGCUUAACUUCGGGGUGGCAGGCGAUACGGGCAUAACUAGAGUGCUGUAGGGGAGACUGGAAUUCCUGGUGUAGCGGUGGAAUGCGCAGAUAUCAGGAGGAACACCGAUGGCGAAGGCAGGUCUCUGGNCAGUAACUGACGCCGAGGAGCGAAAGCAUGGGGAGCGAACAGGAUUAGAUACCCUGGUAGUCCAUGCUGUAAACGGUGGGCGUUAGGUGUGGGGACCGGUUUGGUUUCUGUGCCGUAGCUAACGCAUUAAGCGCCCCGCCUGGGGAGUACGGCCGCAAGGCUAAAACUCAAAGGAAUCGACGGGGGCCCGCACAAGCGGCGGAGCAUGUGGAUUAAUUCGAUGCAACGCGAAGAACCUUACCUGGGUUUGACAUGCACCAGACGGUUGUAGAGAUACGUACCUCCCUUUGUGGUUGGUGUGCAGGUGGUGCAUGGUUGUCGUCAGCUCGUGUCGUGAGAUGUUGGGUUAAGUCCCGCAACGAGCGCAACCCUUGUCUUAUGUUGCCAGCACUUUGGGUGGGGACUCAUGAGAGACUGCCGGGGUUAACUCGGAGGAAGGUGGGGAUGACGUCAAAUCAUCAUGCCCUUUAUGCCCAGGGCUUCACACAUGCUACAAUGGUUAGUACAACGCGCUGCGAACCUGUGAGGGUGAGUGAAUCGCUGAAAGCUAAUCCCAGUUCGGAUUGGGGUCUGCAACUCGACCCCAUGAAGUCGGA